GCCGGGUGUGGUGGUGCACACUUGUGGUCACAACUACUCGGGAGGCUGAGGCGGGAGGAUUGCUUGAGCUCAGGAGUUCUGGGCCGUAGUGAGCUAUGCUGAUCCGGUGUCCACAGUAAUAUGAUAACCUCUGUGGACUGGAAGGACCACCCAGUUGCCUAAGGAGGACUGAACCUGCCCAAGUCAGAAACAGCUGGUCAAAGCUCUCAUGCUGAUCUGUCCUAGGGUCACACCUGUGAACAGCCACUGCACCCCCAGCCUGGGCAACACAGAGAAACCUUGUCUCU
rnacentral:SRP_RNA from 1 species